rfam:Tupaia chinensis contig38111, whole genome shotgun sequence.
AUGCAUUCUUAAACCCUCUUGGUAGCCUGACUCUGUGCUUCCAGGAUAUGAGUGAAUGCUACAGCAACGCAGAGAGUCCAAAGGACUGCGCUUCUGUGGCUCGGUCUUAUUUCAAACCUGCGACAUCU